rnacentral:rRNA from 1 species
GACGAACGCUGGCGGCGUGCCUAAUACAUGCAAGUAGAACGCUGAAGGAGGAGCUUGCUUCUCUGGAUGAGUUGCGAACGGGUGAGUAACGCGUAGGUAACCUGCCUGGUAGUGGGGGAUAACUAUUGGAAACGAUAGCUAAUACCGCAUAAUAGCAGUUGUUGCAUGAUAACUGUUUGAAAGGUGCAAUUGCACCGCUACCAGAUGGACCUGCGUUGUAUUAGCUAGUUGGUGGGGUAACGGCUCACCAAGGCGACGAUACAUAGCCGACCUGAGAGGGUGAUCGGCCACACUGGGACUGGGACACGGCCCAGACUCCUACGGGAGGCAGCAGUAGGGAAUCUUGGGCAAGGGGCGGAAGUCUGUCCGAGCAACGCCGAGGGAGUGAAGAAGGUUUUCGGGUCGUAAAGCUCGGUUGUAAGGGAAGAACGAGUGUGAGAGUGGAAAGUUCACACUGUGACGGUAACUUACCAGAAAGGGACGGCUAACUACGUG